rnacentral:rRNA from 1 species
CCUACGGGAGGCUGCAGUAGGGAAUCUUCCACAAUGGGCGAAAGCCUGAUGGAGCAACGCCGCGUGGGUGAAGAAGGUCUUCGGAUCGUAAAACCCUGUUGUUAGAGAAGAAAGUGCGUGAGAGUAACUGUUCACGUUUCGACGGUAUCUAACCAGAAAGCCACGGCUAACUACGUGCCAGCAGCCGCGGUAAUACGUAGGUGGCAAGCGUUAUCCGGAUUUAUUGGGCGUAAAGGGAACGCAGGCGGUCUUUUAAGUCUGAUGUGAAAGCCUUCGGCUUAACCGGAGUAGUGCAUUGGAAACUGGGAGACUUGAGUGCAGAAGAGGAGAGUGGAACUCCAUGUGUAGCGGUGAAAUGCGUAGAUAUAUGGAAGAACACCAGUGGCGAAAGCGGCUUUCUGGUCUGUAACUGACGCUGAUGCUCGAAAGCGCGGGUAUCGAACAGGAUUAGAUACCCGGGUAGUC